rnacentral:rRNA from 1 species
GAUGAACGCUGGCGGCGUGCUUAACACAUGCAAGUCGAACGGGAAAUAUUUCAUUGAGACUUCGGUGGAUUUGAUCUAUUUCUAGUGGCGGACGGGUGAGUAACGCGUGGGUAACCUGCCUUAUACAGGGGGAUAACAGUCAGAAAUGGCUGCUAAUACCGCAUAAGCGCACAGAGCUGCAUGGCUCAGUGUGUAAAACUCCGGUGGUAUAAGAUGGACCCGCGUUGGAUUAGCUUGUUGGUGGGGUAACGGCCCACCAAGGCGACGAUCCAUUGCCGGCCUGAUAGGGUGAACGGCCACAUUGGGACUGAGACACGGCCCAGACUCCUACGGGAGGCAGCAGUGGGGAAUAUUGCACAAUGGGGGAAACCCUGAUGCAGCGACGCCGCGUGAAGGAAGAAGUAUCUCGGUAUGUAAACUUCUAUCAGCAGGGAAGAUAGUGACGGUACCUGACUAAGAAGCCCCGGCUAACUACGUGCCAGCAGCCGCGGUAAUACGUAGGGGGCAAGCGUUAUCCGGAUUUACUGGGUGUAAAGGGAGCGUAGACGGUGUGGCAAGUCUGAUGUGAAAGGCAUGGGCUCAACCUGUGGACUGCAUUGGAAACUGUCAUACUUGAGUGCCGGAGGGGUAAGCGGAAUUCCUAGUGUAGCGGUGAAAUGCGUAGAUAUUAGGAGGAACACCAGUGGCGAAGGCGGCUUACUGGACGGUAACUGACGUUGAGGCUCGAAAGCGUGGGGAGCAAACAAGAUUAGAUACCCUGGUAGUCCACGCCGUAAACG